rnacentral:rRNA from 1 species
GUGAGUCAUCGAAUCUUUGAACGCACCUUGCGCUCCUUGGUUUUCCAUGGAGCAUGCCUGUUUGAGUGUCACUGUUAAACCUCACCCUUGUGAUGUCAAAGUCACAAAUGGUGGAUUUGGAUUUUGCCGUAAUUGGCUGAUCCUGAAAUGCAUUAGCGUGCGCCUUUUAGAGUGCUUGGCAUGGUGUGAUAAUUAUCUGCGCCGUCGCCUUAGGCCUCUUCUGUGAGCGCUGCUUAUAAUCGUCCCUUGUGGACAACGUAAUAAAGCUUUGGCCUCAAAUCAGGUAGGACUACCCGCUGAACUUAAGCAUAUCAAUAAGCGGAGG